UACGUAGGGGGCAAGCGUUGUCCGGAUUUAUUGGGCGUAAAGAGCUCGUAGGCGGCUCGGUAAGUCGGAUGUGAAACCUCCAGGCUCAACCUGGAGACGCCAUCUGAUACUGCCGUGGCUUGAGUCCGGUAGAGGAGCAGGGAAUUCCUGGUGUAGCGGUGAAAUGCGCAGAUAUCAGGAGGAACACCGGUGGCGAAGGCGGAUCUCUGGGCCUGAUCUGACGCUGAGGCGCGAAAGCUAGGGGAGCAAACAGG
rnacentral:rRNA from 1 species